AGUCAUAUGCUUGUCUCAAAGAUUAAGCCAUGCAUGUCUAAGUAUAAGCAAUCUAUACUGUGAAACUGCGAACGGCUCAUUAAAUCAGUUAUAGUUUAUUUGAUGGUACCUUACUACAUGGAUAACUGUGGUAAUUCUAGAGCUAAUACAUGCCGAAAAGGCCCCGCAAGGGGUUGUAUUUAUUAGAUUAAAGGCCGUUGGCGGAAACGCCAGUUGGUGAAUCAUGAUAACUGCUCGGAGCGUAUGGCCUUGUGCCGACGCCACUUCAUUCAAAUACCUGCCCUAUCAGCUUGAUGGUCGUGUAGUGGACUACCAUUGCUAUUACGGGUAACGGGGAAUUAGGGUUCGAUUCCGGAGAGAGGGCCUGAGAAACGGCCCUCAUUCCUAAGGGAAGCAGCAGGCGCGUAAAUUAUCCACUCUGAACAAUUUCAGGAGAUAGUGACAAUAAAUAACAAUCGAGAGCUCUUUCGGGUUUUCGAAUUGGAAUGAGAACAAUCUAAAUCCCUUAACGAGGAUCAAUUGGAGGGCAAGUCUGGUGCCAGCAGCCGCGGUAAUUCCAGCUCCAAUAGCGUAUAUUAAAAUUGUUGACGUUAAAAAGCUCGUAGUCGACUUUCGGCCCUUGCUGGCUGGUCCGCUCCAUGAGUGUGUACUGGUCUUCAGCAGGGGCUUUACCUCCUGGUGAGCCGGCAUGGCCUUUAUUGGUUGUGUCGGGGAACCCGGAAUUUUACUUUGAAUAAAUCAGAGUGUUCAAAGCAGGCAUGUUUGCCCGAAUGUUACAGCAUGGAAUAAUAGAAUAGGAUGUGUGCCUCUAUUGGUCUUUUAGAGGCACCUUAAUGAGAAAUAGGGGCGGCUCGGGGGCAUUUGUAUUCAAUUGCUAGAGGUGAAAUUCUUGGAUUUAUUGAAGACAAACUACUGCGAAAGCAUUUGCCAAGGACGCUUUCAUUGAUCAAGAACGAAGGUCGGGGGAUCGAAAACGAUUAGAUACCGUUGUAGUCUCGACAGUAAACUAUGCCAACCGGCGAUGGGUGGGGAUUUUCUAAAUGACCCCAUCUGCAGCCAAAGAGAAAUCUCGAGUGCGGUUCGUGGGGGAGUACGGUCACAAGGCUGAAACUUAAAGGAAUUGACGGAAGGGCACCACCAGGAGUGGAGCCUGCGGCUUAAUUUGACUCAACACGGGGAAACUCACCAGGUCCAGACACAAUUAGGAUUGACAGAUUGAUAGCUCUUUCUUGAUCUUGUGGUUGGUGGUGCAUGGCCGUUCUUAGUUGGUGGAGUGAUUUGUCUGGUUAAUUCCGAUAACGAACGAGACCUUAACCUGCUAAAUAGCCCAGCCGACUUUGGUUGGCUGCUGGCUUCUUAGAGGGACUAUCGACGUUUAGUCGAUGGAAGUUUGAGGCAAUAACAGGUCUGUGAUGCCCUUAGAUGUUCUGGGCCGCACGCGCGCUACACUGACAGAGCCAGCGAGUUUUUUAUAGUCCUUGGCCGGAAGGCCUGGGUAAUCUUGUGAAACUCUGUCGUGAUGGGGAUAGAGCAUUGCAAUUAUUGCUCUUCAACGAGGAAUUCCUAGUAAGCGCAAGUCAUCAGCUUGCGUUGAUUACGUCCCUGCCCUUUGU
rnacentral:rRNA from 1 species